UAGGGAAUCUUCGGCAAUGGACGGAAGUCUGACCGAGCAACGCCGCGUGAGUGAAGAAGGUUCUCGGAUCGUAAAGCUCUGUUGUUAGAGAAGAACGAUGGUAGGAGUGGAAAAUCUACCAAGUGACGGUAACUAACCAGAAAGGGACGGCUAACUACGUGCCAGCAGCCGCGGUAAUACGUAGGUCCCGAGCGUUGUCCGGAUUUAUUGGGCGUAAAGCGAGCGCAGGCGGUUCUUUAAGUCUGAAGUAAAAGGCAGUGGCUUAACCAUUAUACGCGUUGGAAACUGGAGGACUGGAGUGCAGAAGGGGAGAGUGGAAUUCCAUGUGUAGCGGUGAAAUGCGUAGAUAUAUGGAGGAACACCGGUGGCGAAGGCGGCUCUCUGGUCUGUAACUGACGCUGAGGCUCGAAAGCGUGGGGAGCAAACAGG
rnacentral:rRNA from 1 species